UACGUAGGGUGCAAGCGUUGUCCGGAAUUAUGGGGCGUAAAGAGCUCGUAGGCGGUUUGUCGCGUCUGCUGUGAAAACCCGAGGCUCAACCUCGGGCCUGCAGUGGGUACGGGCAGACUAGAGUGCGGUAGGGGAGAUUGGAAUUCCUGGUGUAGCGGUGGAAUGCGCAGAUAUCAGGAGGAACACCAAUGGCGAAGGCAGAUCUCUGGGCCGUAACUGACGCUGAGACGCGAAAGCGUGGGGAGCGAACAGG
rnacentral:rRNA from 1 species